UGUCACGGGGCGAGCGGGCCGCACCGGGCUCCUGCGGGGCCCCGCGGCUUCCCUUCGGCCUGGCCGCGGCUGCCCGGCGGCAUCCGCGCUCUACCACCAUGCUCAGGCGGAUUCUGCAGCGGACUCCAGGUAGAGGUGGGUCUCAGAGCUCGGAUUCGGAUUCAUCUGCCACGCCUGGAAAUGCCGUGGACGUGAACAACGACGGCUCCUCAGAGGGCUUCAUCUGUCCAUUGUGUAUGAAAGUGUGUGUAACUCCCACUGAUCUGUCUGAACAUUACCAGAGUGAGCACACUGGGACAGAAGGAAGACAGGAGCUUCGUGACCUCCCAGCUACUAGUGGCUUUAUUUGUCCUCUCUGUAUGAAGUCUCAUGGAUCAGCAGAGGAGCUGUUCAAGCACUAUGAAGCAGUUCAUAAUUCUGGCAUUGAUUCAAGUCACAGAGGGGAAGGUCAUCUGUCACCAGAAAGAGAUGAAGUAUCACUGCUCCGACAAGAAGUCCAGGACUUGCAAGCUUCACUGAAGGAGGAGAGAUGGUAUUCAGAAGAGCUGAAGAAAGAAUUAGAGAAAUUGCAGGGGCAGCGGCAGCAAGAAUCUAAAUCUGAUGGAUUGACAACAGCUACAUCUACAGAAUCAUUAGAACGGCAACUAGAAGAGAUCCAAGUAGAAAAUUUUAACAUUAAGCAAAUGAAAGACUUAUUUGAGCAAAAAGCAGCACAACUGGCCACUGAAAUUGUGGAUCUUAAAUCAAAGUAUGAUGAAGAAAUCAGCCUUCGGGAAGGUGCAGAACAGAAGGUGACAAACCUGAGACAAGAACUGCAGAAAGAGAGAAGUACAGUAGAAGACUUAAAGACAGAGCUGCUACAAAGGCCUGGUGUGGAAGAUGUGGCUGUCCUGAAAAAGGAGCUGGUCCAAGUUCAAACACUGAUGGAUAAAAUGACGCUGGAACGUGAAAGAGAAUCUGAAAAGCUGAAAGAUGAGUGCAAGCACUUGCAGGCUGAGCAGGCUAACUCUGAGGCUACUAUUAACCAAUUAAGAGCUGAACUUGCCAAAGGACCUCAGGAAGUAGCUGUGUAUGUUCAGGAGCUGCAAAAACUUCAAAGUUCAGUUAAAGAGCUAGAACAGAAGAAUCAGAGUCUAACUGAGAAGCUGCUGAAGAAAGAACAGGACUACACCCAGCUGGAAGAAAAACACAAUGAAGUAUCUGUGAGUAAGAAGAAUGUGCAGGCAAGUUUUCACCAGAAGGACCUGGACUGCCAACAGCUUCAGGCAAAGCUGUCUGCUUCUGAAGCCUCGAUACAGAGACUGCAGACAGAGCUAAGUGAGAAGGCAGAAGCAAGCCAGAAGCUUAAAGAGGAGUUAUCUGAAGUAGAAACAAAGUACCAGCAUCUCAAGGCAGAAUGUAAACAGCUCCAGCAGCAGAGGGAGGAAAAAGAGCAGCAUGGCCUGCAACUCCAAAGCGAGCUCAGUCAGUUGCACAGUAAACUCCUAGAAACAGAGCGGCAGCUGGGGGAAGCGCACGGGCGGCUCAAGGAACAGAGGCAGCUGUCCAGUGAGAAACUGAUGGACAGAGAGCAGCAGGUGGCUGACCUGCAGCUAAAACUUUCUCGUGCUGAAGAGCAGCUAAAGGAAAAAGCAGCAAAUUCCACAGAAUUGCAACAUCAAUUAGAAAAGGCAAAGCAGCAGCACCAGGAGCAGCAGACCCUUCAGCAAAAUACAACAGCAAAACUACGAGAAGCCCAGAAUGAUCUGGAGCAAGUUCUACGACAAAUUGGAGAUAAGGACCAAAAAAUUCAAAAUCUUGAGGCUUUGCUUCAAAAAAGUAAGGACAACAUCUCUCUGCUAGAAAAGGAAAGAGAGGACUUAUAUGCAAAAAUUCAAGCUGGUGAAGGAGAAACUGCAGUUCUUAACCAGCUACAAGAGAAAAACCAUGCAUUACAAAUACAGGUAACUCAGCUGACAGAAAAGCUGAAAAAUCAAUCAGAAAGUCAUAAACAAGCCCAAGAGAAUUUGCAUGAACAAGUGCAGGAACAAAAGGCACACCUAAGAGCUGCUCAAGAUCGUGUGCUUUCCCUAGAAACAAACAUCACUGAACUAACCAGUCAGUUAAAUGAAAGUAAAGAGAAAGUGUCACAACUUGAUGUGCAGGUAAAAGCAAAGACAGAAUUGCUACUUUCAGCAGAAGCAUCAAAAGCUGCUCAGAGAGCAGAUCUACAGAACCAUCUGGACACUGCCCAGAAUGCACUGCAAGAUAAACAACAGGAGUUAAAUAAGGUCAGUGCUCAGUUGGAUCAGGUGACAGCUAAGCUGAAUGACAAGCAGGAGUACUGUACUCAGCUGGAAGCCAAUCUUAAAGAGUACAAAGAAAAAUGCCUUUCUUUAGAACAGAAAAUUGAAGAACUAGAGGCACAGCUUAAGAAACUUGAAGGUGACAUUCUUGAUGCUAGAGCAAGUAAAGAGCAAGCUCUUCAGGAGUUACAGCAAAAGCAACAUCAGAACAAAGAAUUAGAUCUCCGGACAGCAGAACUGAGUAAACAACUUGAAGCAGCAAGAGAAGCGAUGUCUAAUGCUCAACUGGAUUUGCAGAAGAAAUCUGAGGCCCUUGACCAAGCAAAUCAACAAAUUAAAAAGCAGGAGGCAGAAAAGGCCAGUCUCAAACAAAACCUUGAGAAAUCAAAUCAAGAUACAAGUAAACAGCUCAAGGAACUUGAUUGUAAAAUGCAAGCAGCCACAUCAGAGCUGCAACAAGUGAAGUUAGAGAAGGACACUCUAUUAAAGGACCUUACACAUACCAAAGAUAAGCUCUCAAAAAGCUCUGAAUCCUUCAAAAAAAGAAAGGAGGAAUUAGAAAACGAAAUUAAAAAAGGAAAAGCAGCUAUGGCAGAAAUGGAAAAGUCUUGCCAAGAGUUAAAACACCAACUUCAGAUACAAACAGAGUCUGUAGCUAAAGAGAGGAAUGAAUUGAAAAACUCACUGGAGAAAAAAGAGGUGAUUUCUAAGCAGUUGUCUGUAGACCUUGAUUCAGCAAGAGCACAAGUACUGGAAAUCCAGGGUCUUCUGAAGGAAAAAGAAAAAAGUGAGCAACAUCUCCAGGGAAAGCUGAGAGAGUUAAAAGAAUCUUUUGAGCAGAAGAAAAAACAUAGUGAAACAUUGCAAGCUGAAUUAAAAACUGCCCUUUUAGAAAAGGCAGAGCUGGAGAAUAAACUACAACAGCAGUCCAUUUUGUCAGCACAGGAGCUUAAAGCAGAGAAAGGCAAGCUAGCAGAUUUACAGAAGGCCCAUGAUAAACAUAAAGAAAACAUGGAGAAGCUGCAGCUGGAUCUUUAUGGCAAAGAGUCUGAGCUGCUGGCAACCAGGCAAGACCUUAAGUCCACAGAAGAAAAACUUGCUCUAGCUCAAGAAGAAUUAGUUUCCAGCAGGAAUCGAAUUGCUAGCAGUAAUCAACAGAUUCAGGAGCUGAAGAAAGCUCAGUCUGCACUGGAGCAGGAUGCAUCAAAGAAAGAACAGCAGCUGGGUGAGAAGACCAAAAUGCUGCAAGAUCUUCAGAAUGACAGGAUUUUGAAAGAAAAAGAUUUGGCUAAUGAAAAAUGUAAAACGGCAGAGCUCCAGGAAAUAAGGAACAGACUUGAAAAAGAAAGUGCCAAGCUGGGUGAAGAGCUUAAAGCCUGCAAGCAAGAAUUUGAGAAGGAGGUGACAAAUCUCAAGGAUGGAAACCAGCUAUUGAUUCAACAGAAAUUAGAACUGCAGGGCAAAAUAGAUACUGUGAAUUCAACUCUGGAACAGGAGAAACAAAAACAUCAAGCUGUCAAAGAUCAGCUGAAAAAGAGAGAAGAGGAGCUGAAGAAAGAAUGUGCUGAAAUUGAAGCCAAACUGCACACAGAGAAAAAAGACAAAGAAGAAGAAAAACGGAAACAUGAGGAAAAAGAGACCAAGCUCACCAUGCAGGUGACAGCCCUGAAUGAAAACCUGGCUACCAUGAAGAAAGAGUGGCAGAGCAGUCAAAGACGAGUGAGUGAGCUGGAGAAGCAGACAGAUGACUUACGUGGGGACAACGCUGUCCUGGAAGCAACAGUCCAGAAUAAUCAGGAUGAGAGAAGAGCCUUGCUGGAGAGGUGUAUAAAAAGUGAGGGAGAAAUUGAAAAGCUUCAGGCCAAACUUGUAGAAAUGAAGAAAAAGUUGGACAAUACAACGGCUGCAAUGCAGGAACUUGGCCGAGAAAACCAGUCAUUGCAGAUCAAACACACACAAGCUCUCAACAGGAAGUGGGCAGAAGACAAUGAGGUACAGAAUUGUAUGGCCUGUGGAAAAGGCUUUUCGGUGACAGUAAGAAGGCAUCACUGUAGACAGUGUGGAAAUAUCUUUUGUGCUGAGUGCUCAGCAAAGAAUGCCUUAACUCCUUCUUCCAAGAAGCCUGUCCGAGUCUGUGACACUUGCUUUAAUGACUUGCAAGGAUAACUGGCUGUCGUGAGUGACAAAGAAAGGUUACACUAAAAUUUACUAUUUCUGUUGAUGCACUUCAUUCAGCACUCAGACUACUAUUCAGUUUGGACAAUGAUUGUAACACUUGGCAAAAUCUAGUAUAUUUUAAAAUGUUUAUUGAUACCAAGCAAAACUAUUGUAUUUUUUCGUGAGACAUGGGCUCAGAUAAUUCAUAGCUUACUGACAUUCAUCAUGGAAAGAGCUUUUAUGUCUAGAUUAGAACUAUCCAGUUAUUUGUAAAUAAAGUUUAAACAGAGGAGUAACAAUGUAUUUUUUUAUCUUUUAUUUUUUUGUUCAAGAGAAACGGCAUUUAUGUGAUAUUGGAAUUUAUUCUUGUUUCCUUCAAAGACAAAGGAAGAUGCAAACUUGUGAGGAUUUUAUGUAUCAAAUGUUGCUGUAAAAACAUAACUAAUUGUUGCAUUUGAUUGUGUAUCUGAUGGUCUUUAUAACCCCCUGUGAUUUGUUUGGUUUUUUUUCUAUCUCUCUGGUUCUUGUUUUUCUUUCUGAAGUUUGAACUCCACAAUGAGGGUAAUGGCUGGACUCAACUUCAACUCAGUUUAUUUGCCCACUUGUAUUAUCAGCACCCAAGUCCUUAUCUAAUACAGCACUUGGGUGCUGGAACACCUUUACAUGUGCUCUAUUGCAUAGUUGGUGUGUGAGUGCAUCUGUCUUUCUGAGAGAGUUAUGUGUGAACAAGUGAUGAGACAAAGUUUAUCUGGCAUUGUAGCAAUAUUAUGCAUUACAAUAUUUCAUCCCAUAGUGAUUGAUUUCACGUUUACAAAUUUGGUUGACACAUUCUAAUAUUCAAGAAACUCUUACAUCAUGUUGUUUUGCAUUAAAAAGCAAAGAAACAAUGCUGGUAGAAGCCUGUAGCACAUCUCUGCCCCUGCCCAUACCCUGGAAGCAUUGAGAGAUCACUGCUGUUCUAAGGGACAUCCAGACCUUCCAAGCCAGGCAUCCAACUGAGAAAAAUUAUUUUUUGAGACAGCUGUAGUUUUUCUGGCCUUUUCUUCUGUCCCUUCCUCAGCUUUUGGUGGAAGAAGUUGAACUCCUGUAACACCUAACAAACCUCACUUUUCCAUUACUCCAUCUGACCCCCAUUACCAGGGGCUCUGAAGUGUUAUGUUAAUUGUGUGAUUUAGUCUGCUUAGAAUGGAAAACUGGCUUUGUUAUAAGCCAAAUAGUUCUAACAAAGAGGCCAAUAUGUAUGACAAUAAAUAUUUAUUCAUGCUUUCUGUACUGGGAACAGAAGUUUCUUGUGCAGUUCGUGUAAGCUCCAUACUUCUUUUUUGUUGUGAUUUUGUUUGCACCUCUUCAUUUUUGCUUGCCUGUCUCUAAUUUUUCCUUCCUUUCUGUCUGGGUAUUUCAAACCCUUAAGAUUAUAUUUUCUAAGCAGGGGUUAUGCCUUCCAAUAUUUAGGAAUUUUUUUUUUGUCUUAAAUACCCUAAUAAAUUCUCUACCCCUCAAAUGCUUCAGUAUCUUACCAAUUUUUGCCAGCUGUUCAGAGAAAAAAGUUGUGUCCUGAAUUCCUCUACUUCUUUUCUGAGGCAAGGAAUCAAAUUCUGUCACAAUGAUGGUAGCUUAGUCAUCAUUAGGAAGGUUUGUUUGCUUUUAUCUAGUUACAGCUCUAUAUGUGAAUGAAGAAGUGUCUUCUUUAUAAAAAAUGUCUUGAUUAACUGUCAAGUGAGGAAACUUCGUCCUUCUACUCCAGAAGUAGUGAUCUAUAUGUUUCAUAUCCUCUUUCACCUUACCCAGCAAGUUCUACAUUUGCACUGUCAAGGAGUUCUGUUAAAAUUCAGUUCUUAUUUCCCAGAAGACAGCUGAAUGAUGUGACUUGUUCUUGUCAUAGUAGAAGGGUUUGGGUUGCAACUGUGGUUCAUACAAAACACUGACCUGUUUUUCUGGUUUGGACUUGAGUUGCUGGCUCAAAAAAGAAAAACAAACUGCUGCAACAAUUCCAUAUGAACAGAGCCUCUGGACUCCCUGUUUCUCCUCAUCAGUAUAACUGUUUGGCAUAAGAAUCUUUUGAAUAGAAAAUAUGAACAGAAUCUCUGCCUCUGGGAUUUUUUUUUCUAUUUAUUUGUUUACUGAGAGAAACAAAAAAAAUUGCUUUAUAGUCUUUCUUUGUCUGGCUUUAGAAAUGUGGGAAAAGUAGAGAUGUGACGGUUGUGCUCCAGCAUAGAUGCAUUCUGCCCUUUUGUGUAACACACAAGAGCCUUGUGCUGUUCUUUGGGUGAAUGACAGCCACACAGAACAGGAGGGAUUUUGAGCAGGAAGGGAGAAACUUCCCACAGCUGCCUAAGAUUAAAACACAUGAGGCAGAGGAAGAUGGGGAUCUUUCAGUGGAACUUGGAAAGUGGUUAGAAGAUUCAGUUGUGUUUAGGCAUUUUGCUUUUGAUUGGGAACAUAUGAAAGCUCAGGAGUGACUUCUUCAGUGGUAGAAGCUCUGGAAGGAAGCUCUAGAAGCUCUCUUAAUUCAGCCUUUUGGGAUAUCAUUGUAUAAAGACAAGCAGAGUCACCUUUCUCAGCGGGCUGCUGAAGCAGUGCGGUUGGUUGACUGCAGAUCACACCUUGAAGUGGAGCUCUUCAGCUUCAGGGGCAAAACCAGCUUAAUUUUUGAAAGUUGCUUUUUGCUGCCUAGUUUAUAUGAGCAGCUUUUAGAGGAGAUGGAAAUGCUUUUUGAAUGCACAUUUGUAGAAAGAAGGAUUGUUAAAAUCUGGAGGAACAGUGGGGUAGAAACUUUCAUGUUUGAGCUUUGAUUCUGCAGCAAUAGAUCAUGAUUUCCACAGCUUUUCACUGUGAAAAGUGAAUUUAUGACUCCAUGGCUGAGUCUCAUGCUCCUUGUUUUGUACUUGUAACUCUUGGUUCUGGUCUGUAUUUGUUGACAAGUUGAUGGUGGACUGACUCUAUAAUACUUGGCUUCACUGCCAGGUUGGAAUCUGUGUUCAAGCUCAAGAAAAUAUCCCAUAAUAAGGGAAACUGAAAGGUGAAAAGCUGUGUAUUUACAAAUAUGCUUGCAGAAUCUGUUUUGAUGGGCAUGUUUCAGUAGGAAUGUGGGCUUUUUGUUCCACUGCCUUCUAAGUAACUUGAAAACCAAGUAAAAAGUAAAAAGCCUGGUGACUAUUACCACAGUAAAAAAAGGAUUCCAGUCAAAACAUUUUAAUUCACUGAUUUUUGAGACUGCAGACACAGAAACAGAGGGGAAAAAUAAUAAAAUGGCAGAAGAGACGGACUCUUGGAACUGGAGAAUGCAUAGUUAUGUGUUUUUACAGCUUCUAGCAAUAGGCAGAAUGCUCUGAUUCCCUGAGGAGUGGCCAUUUUAGAGGAAGAGGUGAAAAUGAUGGCAAAACCAGCACUCAAACCAGUAGGUUUGUGGGAUCCUCAAGCAGCUUUUGAUUGCUACUCCUUACUGUGGCAUCAGGAAUGGGACAGUGAAGUGUGGGCUUUGUUCUUGAAACUGUGCCAUCUGCAGGAUACUCCAUCCACAUUCAGAAUUGCUGCAGGAGCAGAAUGUGAGAGACCAACUGCUUCAUGGGCAGAAAUAAGCUACAGAAGCUUUUGUAAAUGUGUAAAGGAUGGUCUUACUAAGGGUGGGGAGAGGUUCUUUUAACUUCCUGGAGACAACACCUCUCUUCCCAGUCAAAGACUCACAGUCCCUUGGAUUUUUGCCCCACAAAUGCCAAAUCCUGCUGUUCCACUCUGGCCUUAUGUCAGCAGUACAUCACACUGGAGACAGGUAGCAUUGCAGAGGUCCGUGGCAGGCUUUUGAUCUUAGCUGGCUCUCCUUCACUGUUAUUUAUUUCUUCUCCCCACGUACUCCCUAAUGUAAUCUUCCCCCUUCUGCAAAUGUUGAAUGAAGAGGAUAAAAGUAAUGAGUCACAGUAGGAAAAGUUGCUGUCUGGAGAUGAAGAGACAAAAGGAAUUUUCUGCUGCAGCUUCCAACAGAGGCAAGAGGUUUAGAGGGAUCUCAGUUUUCAGCUGGUUUCACUCUCUGGCACAAAUGUCCAUGACUGUAGGGUGAAAUGUGGGUUUUUGCCUCUGUUUUUGGAAGGUGUCAAGUAACCAAGUUGCCAUGGAGUGUGGAACACAAGGUACACAAGAACAAUGAGUAACUACUUUUGUUGGCUUUGGGACCAUUAGGGUUAUUUGUGAACCCUCACUGGAAAAGCUUUUUUAUUAGUGAAGCAAGAAGGGAUUUGGGAGCAGAAGCAUGGAGUAACCUCUCUGUGUUUGUAUUACAUGAGCCAGAACAACUGAGCUUCUCAUGCUAGAUGUAAGAGAAAUGACAUUCAUAAAGGAACCUGAAAAACUCAACUGCUUUUCUGGAUUAUUAAGUGUCAGUUCACCAUGGAGUGGAAACAAAUGCUUGUUACAAAACUUAAAAAUUUUAUGGCCAGUACUCAGUGAUGGACAGAAAAAUAUUGGACCUGAAGUUCAAAUAGAUUCUAAACUAUGCCAAGAAGAAUGAUAUUGUGAUUUGAGUAUGUAGAAACUGAUAAAUUACUCUUCUAAGUACCACCUCUCCUGCUCUCAUAUUGUCAGAGACCUAGGAAACAACACUGUCAUUUGCACUGUGCAUUUUUGGCUGUUUAAGAGAAUCUAUAGUAAGUGGAAUGGCGUCAUGUGCAUUGCAUGUGUUAGCUGUAGUCAUUGGACAGCAGGUUUAUAAUCAGCUGGAUUUUUCACUGUAUACAUUUGGCCCUAAGGAGAACUGCACUCACAGUUCCUUUUUCCAAAAACGCAUCAUCUGAGACCACAUAUAACAAAAACCUUGUUAGUCACACACAUGUCUUUGUAGAACUUAAUUUUAAGAUUAUAAAAUGAGAAAAGAAAGAAUUUUACAUAUUUGCAAGGAUCUUGCCAGUUGUCUGUUUCUUUGGUUUUGAAAUCUUGACCUCAGCAUCCAUUUUAGAAUGAGUUUAAAACUAUUGUCCAACAUAGGCACUCCAAAAGGACUAAUUGAUGUACUUUUCAAAGCCAACUGUAAUUGCAUGUAAGUCCUGCCAUUGAAAUUUGGUUUUGUGGUGUUUUUUCUGUUUCUUUUUAAAUGGACACUGAAUAAAAAAGUUUGCAUGUUUAGAGAGAAUAUUAGAUACCACUUAAGUUUCAAAUAAUGAAGAGUGUAGGUACUAGGUUAUGUAAUAAACUCUGCAUAUUGUCUGUAGCUCCCCACAUACUACACACUCACUAUGCAGUGGAUAGAGAAGUGUCUGUGCAUUUAAAGACUGAUGAAGCCCUGCUACCCCUUUGGAUCAAUAUUGUAUGAAAGCAGGAGCCUGGAAGGCACAUUUUCCAAUUUUCCCUCCCCCUGUGAUGGAAACUUAAAACUAAAACCAAAUUUGUCUGUAUUUUGUGCUUUUUCUUUGGGUAAAGAGGGCUGGGAAAGGAUGUUCAUUGUUAAAUGUCAACAGGUCAGUGCUGGCAGGUCCAGGCCACUGCUGUUGGCUUCAUGGCAAAGUCCUCCAUUGUACCACGCUGGAGCUUGAUUCCUGGCACAAAAGGGAUGUUGGAAAGAGCAUCUCGCUGGGUUAGCAAAUACCAGAACUUUUUAUAGUAAUAUGUCCAAAAUGCUGCUUGUAUAGAAAUAGUCACUUUUGUAAGAAAAGAAAAAAAGUUACAAAAAAAGUCACACC